CCCUUAGACGUUCUGGGCCGCACGCGCGCUACACUGACACAGGCAACGAGCUUUCCUUUACCGAAAGGUAUGGGUAAUCUUUUGAAACUGUGUCGUGCUGGGGAUAGAUCCUUGCAAUUUUUGAUCUUAAACGAGGGAUUCCUAGUAAGCGCGAGUCAUCAACUCGCGUUGAUUACGUCCCUGCCCUUUGUACACACCGCCCGUCGCUACUACCGAUUGAAUGGCUUAGUGAGGCCUCAGGAUCCGCGCUUAAUGUGUGGAGAAUUUGGACAAACUACGUCAUUUAGAGGAAGUAAAAGUCGUAACA
rnacentral:rRNA from 1 species